AAAGAAAUGGGUCCUAGACCCCACACACGCCACUCGGUAAAGAAUCGGGCCUAUAGCUCAGCUGGCUAGAGCACACGACUGAUAAUCGUGAGGUCAGUGGUUCGAGUCCACUUGGGCCCACCAAAUGGGGCUGUAGCUCAGCUGGGAGAGCACCUGCUUUGCAAGCAGGGGGUCACCGGUUCGAUCCCGGUCAGCUCCACCAAAGGGAAGAGGCCCGCGCGCAGCGGGUCGGACGCUGGGGUGGAGAGGUAGGUAGCAGGUAACAGGAAGUAGAGAGUAGAAAGGUAAAAAGAGUCCGUAGUAGUGAGUUUCUAAAAAAGAAGCUGAGUACUACCGAUUCGAAGUAUUGAAGCGGUAUUGUUCUUUGACAGUUGAGGAAGGGAAGGCCAUGUUUGUCAUCUUGCCGAUGGCAGACCUCCGAGUGGGUGCUUGGGGAUAUAUGGUCAAGUGAAUAAGGGCAUACGGUGGAUGCCUUGGCAGAGACAGGCGAUGAAGGACGUGGAUACCUGCGAAAAGCCUCGGGGAGCUGGUAAACAAGCUUUGAUCCGGGGAUGUCCGAAUGGGGCAACCCAGCCA
rnacentral:misc_RNA from 1 species